UACGUAGGGGCCUAGCGUUGUCCGGAUUUAUUGGGCGUAAAGAGCUCGUAGGCGGUUUGGUUAGUCAGGUGUGAAAUCUCCACGCUCAACGUGGAGGGGCCACCUGAUACUGCCAUGACUUGAGUCCGGUAGGGGAGUGUGGAAUUCCCGGUGUAGCGGUGAAAUGCGCAGAUAUCGGGAGGAACACCCGUAGCGAAGGCGGCCUGCUGGGCUAUGGCUGACACUGAGGCGCGACAGCGUGGGGAGCAAACAGG
rnacentral:rRNA from 1 species